CUGCUCUCCUGUAUCACCUCCCUGUCAUCGGUGUGCCUUUAGCGCGACUUCCACGAGGAUCUGCUCGGUGCUCUUUCCCAGCACAGAGGGGCUUCACCUGAGUGCCGUGACUUUUCAAAUGUCACUGAGAGUGGCUUGGCAACUACAUCACCAAACUCCCUUAGGACUCUGCGAUGCGUCUCAUCGGGUCCAACGGACUCCUGCAUUUCCGGUUCUGCAGGUGGCAACGGAAGAAGGUCUGCUGUUUCUCCAAACAACGUUGUUAGCUAUCCUGUCUCUGGAAUGCAGGGUAGCAUGCUGGACAAUAAAGCCACAAAUUAACAAAGCAGCAGCAGAUUGGUGGAUGGAAUUCUGGAGUUGUAGCUGGUAAGACGACUGGCUGGAGUGAGUCAAGCAUCCUUCAGCUUGAUCCCGGUCAAAGAGUGCACAGCGAGAAAAGGAAUCUGGCCUUCAUCAGAAGACCACCAGGUGACCUGUGAGAGAUACCAUGCAUGUGUAAAAGAACUGAGACUUGGGGCGAGGAAAAGUCAGUCCUUUUGGGAAUUCACUGUAAUAACCCAACCUUUUCUUGGGCUUCCAUCAGACUGCGAGCUUGGGCUUUACGGGCUAGAGGUGGAGCUUACACAGACACCUCUGUAUUUUCAGAAAGGAACAAGAAGGCUGAGA